AAUAUGUGGAGUUUUUUGUUUGUUUGUUUGUUUUUAUGACUCCUCAGGAUUCCUACUCUUUCAAUACAACAGUUCCACAAACUCACAUCCUAACAAACAGAUCUUAAUGAUCACAGAAACCAAUUCUUCACACAACACCGGUCACUGGGUUCACAGAUGCAAGUCUACAUGAUUUCCACAAGAAAGCCUAUCACUGAACUAACGGAAGCAUUUACUUGAGAAUGGACCGUAGAAUUGUUCUAACUUCAGCAAAUUCCACUCCAGCCAGAAGCCUGGACUCCCCCUAGGCGUCUUUGGAUUUUGUUGUCUUGUUCUGCAAGCUUUCCAAGUUUUCCCUUGUUUCGCAUUUGGCUAACCCUGGUCUUUUGAGGCGCUAAGGACUGGAGAGCUGCUUCCCCUUUCUCAUAAAAUGUGCUGACAGAGGCCAUGGCCCAGUGGCUGUCAGGAGAGCAGAGUCCACAUCCCACUGGAGAUGCCAAAGAGGAGCCAACACUGCAUUCCUGGACCCCUCUGUGCCCCGACCCAGCUUGUGCCCUCCGUCUGGCUAGUCAGCCAUUCAGGGACAGGGGCAGAUGAGAAUCUGGUCUGAGAGUGGCAGCAGUGGCAGCGGAGCGUCCGUGCUGCAGUGCCUCUGCUUCCGCCAUUCUCCAAGCCUGGCUCGCCUGCCCUCCUAACAAUUCCCAGAGCUGCCGGGCAAUUAUCCUUCUCUCAGUCAGCAUGAGACAGUUUCUGUUGCAUGCAACGAAGAACCCUGAUUCGAACAGCACUAAACUGUGAUUCAUACAGUGGAAAGAGACUGUGCUUAGAUAAGAUGCCAGGCCUUGAAUGUGCCUCAUUUUCCCAAUUAAAAUAUGGAGCUGCUAACACUAGCUCUAUUUCACUGAAUUCUUGAAAAAAUAAUAAUAAUAAUAACCUGUACAAAUGCAAAAUCCUUUGGAAUUGUUAAGUGACAUGGACAAAACAAAGAUGUGUACAUGUUUUUGAACCAGUUUAUUUUACUAAAAGAAAUGCAAAUUUCAAAGCCAGAGAAGAAAAACAACAACAACAAAAAAAAGAUUUCAUGCAGAAAUGCUGUUCCAUGUCCAUGUUCCAGUUUCUCCAUGCAGUAGGUGGGAAUCCAGCCUACACAACAGCCUGCUUGAAUUUCUCUGCUCCUGGGAGCCACCUGGGAGCAGAAAAGAGUUUAUUCACAAACCCAACAAUGCCAUCUAAAGUUUUGAAAAGCAUUCCACUUAGCCAUAAUUUCACCUGUGUGUCACAACUUCGGUGAGCUUCCCUGCCCUGUACUGAAGCCACUGAGAUAAAUACAGGACCCUGGUCUCAAGAA